CCAGACUGGCUCACAUCUUCAUUACUUCACUUUGUAUCACAAUGAGAGCAUCCACUCUGCUCUUCCUCUGGAUUGCGGUCUGCGGACUUGUACAAGCACAGUCCUCCGGGUCAGUUGGUGGUGGCUCAGAGAAAUGCCUCUGUAAAGGGAAACUGCACGAUGCUGUUAGACACAAACGAAUCCAGUCUGGUCCAGUUGUGCACCCCAAGACUGUCUUCUGUAUGAAGAUAGAAAUGAUAGUCACACUGAAGAACAAGAAGCAGAUAUGUCUCCAUCCAAACGGCAGGCAAGGGAGAAAAAUCAUGGAGAUGAUCAUUCAUGGAAACCAAGGACAGACACACAAACAAAGAAGAGCCAAGACUAACAAGAGAAGGCAACAGAGAAAAAAGAAGGGCAACUAUCCUGUCUGAGUGGCUCUGAGAGGAGUUGGACUGGGAAGACUGUGGUCGAUACAGCCUAACACUGCCUGCUAUUUCAUAAGUUCUUUGUGUGGUUACUUGGUGUGUCUGAUAUGUUUCAGGUGUUUUUUGUAAAAAGUGCACAAAGGUCAUUUUGAUCAUUUUGAAUGGUUGUGCAACCAUGGGAGCUUUACUAUCUACGCAUAACCUACCAGUAUGUUAUUUCAUGUUUAAGAUUGCUUUUGUAUGAUCAUUUAAAAGGUACAACACUGUUUUGAGAAGAAGACAUGACUGAUCAAGUUAACUAUGAAUCCUAUUUCUAACAAUGGACCGUGGCAUGUGGCAGUUGGCUGUCCUACUAUGUGUUAACGAUGUAUAACACACGUUUGUACUAAAUAAAGUCAUUUAUCCAGAAACAUUACAUUUAA